AUGCACGCUGGCGGCGUGCCUAAUCCAUGCCAGUCGAGCGAACAGACGAGGAGCUUGCUCCUCUGACGUUAGCGGCGGACGGGUGAGUAACACGUGGAUAACCUACCUAUAAGACUGGGAUAACUUCGGGAAACCGGAGCUAAUACCGGAUAACAUGUUGAACCGCAUGGUUUAACAGUGAAAGACGGUCUUGCUGUCACUUAUAGAUGGAUCCGCGCCGCAUUAGCUAGUUGGUAAGGUAACGGCUUACCAAGGCAACGAUGCGUAGCCGACCUGAGAGGGUGAUCGGCCACACUGGAACUGAGACACGGUCCAGACUCCUACGGGAGGCAGCAGUAGGGAAUCUUCCGCAAUGGGCGAAAGCCUGACGGAGCAACGCCGCGCGAGUGAAGAAGGUCUUCGGAUCGUAAAACUCUGUUAUUAGGGAAGAACAAAUGUGUAAGUAACUAUGCACGUCUUGACGGUACCUAAUCAGAAAGCCACGGCUAACUACGUG
rnacentral:rRNA from 1 species